UACGUAGGGGGCAAGCGUUGUCCGGAUUUAUUGGGCGUAAAGAGCGUGUAGGCGGCUUUACAGGUCCGUUGUGAAAACUCGAGGCUCAACCUCGAGACGCCGGUGGAAACCGUAAGGCUAGAGUCCGGAAGAGGAGAGUGGAAUUCCUGGUGUAGCGGUGAAAUGCGCAGAUAUCAGGAGGAACACCGGUGGCGAAGGCGGCCCCCUGGACCGGUACUGACGCUGAGGCGCGAAAGCGUGGGUAGCAAACGGG
rnacentral:rRNA from 1 species